CCUACGGGAGGCAGCAGUGGGGAAUAUUGGACAAUGGGCGAAAGCCUGAUCCAGCAAUGCCGCGUGAGUGAUGAAGGCCUUAGGGUUGUAAAGCUCUUUUACCCGGGAUGAUAAUGACAGUACCGGGAGAAUAAGCCCCGGCUAACUCCGUGCAAGCAGCCGCGGUAAUACGGAGGGGGCUAGCGUUGUUCGGAAUUACUGGGCGUAAAGCGCACGUAGGCGGCUUUGUAAGUUAGAGGUGAAAGCCUGGGGCUUAACUCCAGAACUGCCUUUAAGACUGCAUCGCUUGAAUCCAGGAGAGGUGAGUGGAAUUCCGAGUGUAGAGGUGAAAUUCGUAGAUAUUCGGAAGAACACCAGUGGCGAGGGCGGCUCACUGGACUGGUAUUGACGCUGAGGUGCGAAAGCGUGGGGAGCAAACAGGAUUAGAUCCCCCUGUAGU
rnacentral:rRNA from 1 species